GAUGAACGCUGGCGGCAUGCCUAAUACAUGCAAGUCGAGCGAACAGACGAGGAGCUUGCUCCUUCGACGUUAGCGGCAGACGUGUGAGUAACACGUAGGUAACCUACCUAUAAGACUGGGAUAACUUCGGGACUCCGGAGCUCAUCCCGGAUAAUAUUUCGACCCGCCCGGUUCGUUAGCGAACGAUGGCUUUACUAUCACUUAUCGAUCGACCUGUGCCGUAUUAGCUAGUUGGUAAGGUAACCGCUUACCAAGGCAACGAUACGUAGCCGACCUUAGCGCGUGAUCGCCCAGACUAGAUCUGAGACCCGGUCCAGACUCCUACGGGAGGCAGCAGUAUGGAAUCUUCCGCAAUGGGCGCAAGCCUGACGCAGCACCGCCCCGUGAGUGAUGAAGGUCUUCGGAUAGUAAAGCGCUGUUAUGCGGGAAGAACAAACGUGUAAGUAACUGGGCACGUCUUGACGGUACCUAAUAAGGAAGCAACGGCUAACUACGUG
rnacentral:rRNA from 1 species